GAAUUUUAUUAAUGAAAAUGAGCGAAAACAAAUAUCUUAGAUAACCGAUCUGUUGAUGUUUUUAUCCCGCAGUAGUAGAAAAUGCAGAGACAGCUUGUCAGCAAGGCUUUAGAAAGCGAACGAAUUGAAGUUCCUUUGGCUAUACAGACCUAUCUUUGGGGACAGACAAGGUACGCCGCCGGCUGAUCGAACGAUUGUAGUUUAACUUCUUGGAC